ACUAGGAAAUUUGGUCAAAUGUUGCAUUUCUAGAUCCGGCUAUAAUUAAGAGUAAGAUCCCAUUUUAUAAAUCGACGCAGCCUCUUGUGGCAGCAAAGUGGAGGCUUUGUGUCGUGUCUUUCCUUUCUUGAGGCAGUGGUUAUAGGAAUGCCCUUACGGGUGCUGCUUUUGAACUGAUAUAUUUCCCCUGCUGGUUGUUUGAUGUGUGUCUUUCCUUUCUUGAGGCAGUGGUUAUAGGAAUAUAGGUGCUGCUUUUGAACUGAUAUAUUUCCCCUGCUGGUUGUUUGAUGUCUUGUGAACUGCUGUGGGCGCCAUCGAGUAGAAGAGCAGCAUCCGGUGAACAGGUGAGGAGGGGGAUAAAGAGGAAUGAACUCACAUAAGCUGUUGGGUUUCGUUAUGCCUUGUCUGGCACGUGCUUCCUCCCAACGCCAGGGCCGUGUCCCCAUGAAACAUCCUCCACCAGUGGUUCUUAUCUGAGGUCUUCCAACUAUUUAGGUCUUCACCUCCCAGAAAACCCAGCAUAGCCAACGGUAAGAGACUACAGGAGCUGAGGACUAGUAAAUGCUCACUAACUUUUAGCUAAGUUGUUAAUCCUUUUUUUCAUACUAAUUUCCCUGGUUGAUGCCCUUCCUUACCUUGCAUG
rnacentral:lncRNA from 1 species